UUAUGGAGAAUGAGAAGAACUUUAGAUGAUGAUGUAUUCAUGCCCUUCUAUUCAAAAAAUGUCUUAGUAAAAAUUCUAGGUCUUUUUUUUUCAAUAACUGUUUGAUCUUCUAUAAAACUCCAGUGGAAUGGCAUUUUCUCAAAUAAAACUCUUCUAGAAUUACCAAUAAAUGAUUUACUAGAUACAUUCCUAUGACUUUUUAGAAUUCAGGAUAUGGAAAUGACAGCAUCAACAAAGCCCAAAAUGUAACCAAUUGCUUUCCCAAACAGUGGCUUAGCUUUGGAGAGAAGAAAACUAAUUCUCAGUUAGAAAACUUGUCAAUACCUUGUAUACUUGUACAAUUUACAAAAACAGUGUUAGGUGCUCUGGUCUGGAAAAGAGAAAUGCAGGGGAAAAAUGCAAGUAAAACUCCUUGCAAUUGUUCAAGCCCUGGGUAUUGCUAUCUCU
rnacentral:lncRNA from 1 species